UGAUUAAAACUGAUAAAUAAGUACCGUUAAACUGGAAAAGCAAACUACUAUACGCAUAAUAGAAAAGACAAUUUAUCAUCUUUAAAACCAUAAGGCAUAUGAUAUAUGAGAUAGCACAAGGACAUAUCGGCAAGCCUUAGGUUGGUGUUUACGCGUGUAGGUGUGAAUCGCUAUGGUGAUCUGGUCGGAGAUAGAAAAAUAUAAAAUAUUUAUUACAUAACCACACUUAAUCUGAUGAUUUCCUAUGCAUUCAAUACCAAGUUCAAUACAUCUGAUUGUAAUAAGCAUAUUGGACAUACUCUUCAUAUACAUGAAAAUCAUAUCAAUCGUGUAUCACAUAGCACAUUUAAGAGGACUGAUCCUAUAA